GAGGGUAUAGCUCAGUAACAGAGCACAUGCUUAGCAUGCAUGAGGUCCUGGGUUCAAUCCCCAGUACCUCCA
rnacentral:tRNA from 1 species